AGAAUCAACGCUGGCGGCGUGCCUAACACAUGCAAGUCGAACGAGAAAGUGGAGCAAUCCAUGAGUAAAGUGGCGACCGGGUGAGUAACACGUGACUAACCUACCUUCGAGUGGGGGAUAACCUCGGGAAACCGAGGCUAAUACCGCAUAACAUCGCAAGAUCAAAGCAGCAAUGCGCUGGAAGAGGGGGUCGCGGCUGAUUAGCUAGUUGGCGGGGUAACGGCCCACCAAGGCGAAGAUCGGUAUCCGGCCUGAGAGGGCGCACGGACACACUGGAACUGAAACACGGUCCAGACUCCUACGGGAGGCAGCAGUGGGGAAUUUUGCGCAAUGGGGGAAACCCUGACGCAGCAACGCCGCGUGGAGGAUGAAGCCCCUUGGGGCGUAAACUCCUUUCGACCAAGACGAUAAUGACGGUACUGGUGGAAGAAGCACCGGCUAACUCUGUGCCAGCAGCCGCGGUAAUACAGAGGGUGCGAGCGUUGUUCGGAAUUAUUGGGCGUAAAGGGCGCGUAGGCGGUGCCACAAGUCACUUGUGAAAU
rnacentral:rRNA from 1 species